CCUAGAGUUGUAGGCUUUGCCUGCUAUCUCUUACCCAUGUCUUUUGCGGUACCUUUUGUUUCCUCGGCGAGGUCGCUCGCCACCGAUGGACCCCACAUAAACCAUUUGCAUGUUUUGCAAUCAGCGUCUAGUACAAUAAUUAAUUAGUUA
rnacentral:misc_RNA from 1 species